rnacentral:rRNA from 1 species
CGAAGCACUUUAUUUGAUUUCCUUCGGGACUGAUUAUUUUGUGACUGAGUGGCGGACGGGUGAGUAACGCGUGGGUAACCUGCCUUGUACAGGGGGAUAACAGUUGGAAACGGCUGCUAAUACCGCAUAAGCGCACGGCAUCGCAUGAUGCAGUGUGAAAAACUCCGGUGGUAUAAGAUGGACCCGCGUUGGAUUAGCUAGUUGGUGAGGUAACGGCCCACCAAGGCGACGAUCCAUAGCCGACCUGAGAGGGUGACCGGCCACAUUGGGACUGAGACACGGCCCAAACUCCUACGGGAGGCAGCAGUGGGGAAUAUUGCACAAUGGGCGAAAGCCUGAUGCAGCGACGCCGCGUGAGCGAAGAAGUAUUUCGGUAUGUAAAGCUCUAUCAGCAGGGAAGAUAAUGACGGUACCUGACUAAGAAGCACCGGCUAAAUACGUGCCAGCAGCCGCGGUAAUACGUAUGGUGCAAGCGUUAUCCGGAUUUACUGGGUGUAAAGGGAGCGCAGGCGGUGCGGCAAGUCUGAUGUGAAAGCCCGGGGCUCAACCCCGGUACUGCAUUGGAAACUGUCGUACUAGAGUGUCGGAGGGGUAAGCGGAAUUCCUAGUGUAGCGGUGAAAUGCGUAGAUAUUAGGAGGAACACCAGUGGCGAAGGCGGCUUACUGGACGAUAACUGACG